UACGUAGGUGGCAAGCGUUGUCCGGAUUUACUGGGCGUAAAGAGCGCGCAGGCGGUCGUUCAAGUCGCGUGUGAAAGCCCCGGCUCAACUGGGAGGGUCACGCGAUACUGAUCGACUCGAAGGCAGGAGAGGGAAGUGGAAUUCCCGGUGUAGUGGUGAAAUGCGUAGAUAUCGGGAGGAACACCAGUGGCGAAGGCGGGUCUCUGGACAGUUCCUGACGCUGAGGCACGAAGGUUAGGGGAGCAAACGG
rnacentral:rRNA from 1 species